UGGGACCGGUGCUCAGGGCACGGCCCCGGGGCCCUGCCCCGGUGAGGCGGGUGCCUGUGGGACCAGCAGCUGCGCUGGGGAGGGAUUCUCUGCUCUCCACAAAACCCCUUCGGUGCCCAGGCUGCCGAGGCCAGCGUAAACCGGCGGGAUUGUGGAAUAAUCAAGGAUCCCAAGGAACCAGCCCAGUGCUGACUUGGGGAUGUCGCCUCUGGGCCUGUCACCUGGUGGCUGUGCUGGCCUCAGCCAUGGGACACAGCCCCUACGGACCCACCAGCUGCUGGAGGUGCCCGUGGGGGGCCCUGGGGGCUCUGGUGGGGUUCAGCAGCAGGUGGUGUGACCCUGCCCCAGCAGCAGUGCCUGGGUCAGCACGGCUGAGGGGGGAGCAUUCACCAGAGCUGCCAGGUGACUGUUCCAAGGCCAGUGAUACAAUAUGAAACCAGGGUUUGCUUCCAAGUCCCAGCAACGAGAGUGUCACUGCGGGCUGAGGUGCCACCUUGUUCCAGACCUUUCAUCACAGUCACCACUCCUCUGUGAGCAGGCACGGGGGGGCUCUGGCUGUUUCCUCUCACACCAGGCUGCUCUGUCCCCUCAAGCCGAGCUCUGCAGCCUCUCAUGGCGCUUUACGCAGCCAGGACGGGUUUAACUGGGAAGAAGCAUCACUGCACAGCUGCUGUACAGGGGGGCUUGGGCCAGUCUGUUAAUCACAGAACAAGGCAAG